CGAGUCGGCCGGGCGGCCGCGGUGCGCGGAACGGCCCGACAACGGGUACGCCGACAUCGAGGAAAGUCCGGACUCCACAGAGCAGGGUGGUUGUCAACGGCAACCCGGGGUGACCCGCGGGACAGUGCCACAGAGAACAGACCGCCGCCGCGGAUCUUUCGAGAUCGGCGGCGGUAAGGGUGAAACGGUGCGGUAAGAGCGCACCAGCGGCACGGGUGACCGUGCCGGCUCGGUAAACCCCACCCGGAGCAAGGCCGAAGCUCGCACCGCGGGAGACCGUGUGUGCGGGUGCGCGGAUGGCAGAGGGCUGCUCGCCCGAGUCCGCGGGUGGGCCGCUCGAGGUACCCGGCGACGGUGUGCCCAGAUGGAUGGUCGCCACCCGGUCCUCGUGAUCGGGAACAGGAUCCGGCUUACACGCCGACUCGUUCG
rnacentral:RNase_P_RNA from 2 species